GAUGAACGCUGGCGGCGUGCCCAAUACAUCCAAGUCGAGCGAACAGACGAGGAGCUUGCUCCUCUGACGUUAGCGGCGGACGGGUGAGUAACACGUGGAUAACCUACCUAUAAGACUGGGAUAACUUCGGGAAACCGGAGCUAAUACCGGAUAAUAUAUUGAACCGCAUGGUUCAAUAGUGAAAGACGGUUUUGCUGUCACUUAUAGAUGGAUCCGCGCCGCAUUAGCUAGUUGGUAAGGUAACGGCUUACCAAGGCAACGAUGCGUAGCCGACCUGAGAGGGUGAUCGGCCACACUGGAACUGAGACACGGUCCAGACUCCUACGGGAGGCAGCAGUAGGGAAUCUUCCGCAAUGGGCGAAAGCCUGACGGAGCAACGCCGCGUGAGUGAUGAAGGUCUUCGGAUCGUAAAACUCUGUUAUUAGGGAAGAACAAAUGUGUAAGUAACUAUGCACGUCUUGACGGUACCUAAUCAGAAAGCCACGGCUAACUACGUG
rnacentral:rRNA from 1 species